AGACGUGGCCGACGCGGGUCAAAGUGUAAUAUCUCUUCUUAUCAGCUUAAUAUCUGGCACGGGUUCUAUCUGGACCCGAAAUAUUUACCUUUUUUUUUCAAGUUGGCGGAGUGCUUGAAGUCUGCUUCACCUCCACCGCGGGUCGGCCCGGUAUUGAAUUAUCUUCGGGAUCGACCCACGCUCU